rnacentral:misc_RNA from 1 species
GAUGAAGAACGCAGCGAAAUGCGAUAAGUAAUGUGAAUUGCAGAUUUUCAGUGAAUCAUCGAAUCUUUGAACGCACCUUGCGCUCCCUGGUAUUCCGGGGAGCAUGCCUGUUUGAGUGUCAUUAAAUUCUCAACCCCGAUCGGAUUUGUUUUCGCAUUCGGAGGCUUGGAUAGUGGAGCGUGCUGGCCCCCUCUCAUGGGUCGGCUCCUCUCAAAUGCAUUCGCGGAAUCGACUUUGGUCCAUUUCGGUCAUCAGUGUGAUAAACGUUGCGCUGUUGGCUAGGAUCGAGGUGCCGCAUACAAUGGUCUUCGGACAAUUUUAUAAACCAUUUGACCUCAAAUCAGGUAGGACUACCCGCUGAACUUAAGCAUAUCAAUAGGCGGAGGA